CAAUCGUUGAGUCUUGAGUGUCGUCGAUUUGUUAAUCGUAAUGUCUAAUAUUGUAAAUUUGUAUGAAAGUAAUCAAUUAAAAUGCCUAAGCGAAGGUGUGCAUUUACUUGUAAAUGUAAUUUACUAAGUUAAAAAAUGAAUUUACAUUUUUAAGAGAUGGUAAUGAAAUUGGAAAGAUUUUAUGUACUGUAUGUAAAUCAGUUUUUCAAUAGAAAACGGUGGUCGUUCAGAUAUUACACAACAUGUUAAACAGAAGAAAUGUUUAUUGACCGUAUCAAGCAGUUCUUCAGAUAAGGUAACAAAUUUUUUCAUUAGUAAUGUACAGUCAACAAAAGCAAACGUAUUACGGCAGAAGAGGGUC